rnacentral:rRNA from 1 species
UACGUAGGGGGCAAGCGUUGUCCGGAUUUAUUGGGCGUAAAGCGCUCGCAGGUGGUUCGUUGCGUCGUGCGUGAAAGACCCCGGCUCAACUGGGGAGGGUCGUGCGAUACGGGCGAACUGGAGGCCAGUAGGGGGAUGCGGAAUUCCGGGUGUAGUGGUGGAAUGCGUAGAGAUCCGGAGGAACACCAGCGGCGAAGGCGGCAUCCUGGACUGGUCCUGACACUCAUGAGCGAAAUCGUGGGGAGCAAUCCGG